rnacentral:rRNA from 1 species
GAUGAACGCUAGCGGCAGGCCUAACACAUGCAAGUCGAGGGGCAGCAUAAAACAAGCUUGCUUGUUUGGUGGCGACCGGCGCACGGGUGCGUAACGCGUAUGCAACCUACCCUGUACUGGGGGAUAGCCCGGAGAAAUUCGGAUUAAUACCCCGUAAUAAGUUGAAUGGCAUCAUUUGACUUUGAAAGUUCCGACGGUUAUAGAUGGGUAUGCGUUUGAUUAGCUAGUUGGUGGUGUAAUGGACCACCAAGGCGACGAUCAAUAGGGGAUCUGAGAGGACUAACCCCCACACUGGUACUGAGACACGGACCAGACUCCUACGGGAGGCAGCAGUAAGGAAUAUUGGACAAUGGUCGCAAGACUGAUCCAGCCAUGCCGCGUGCAGGAAGACGGCCCUAUGGGUUGUAAACUGCUUUUGUACCAGAGAAAACCUAUCUACGUGUAGAUAGCUGAUAGUAUGGUAAGAAUAAGCAUCGGCUAACUUCGUGCCAGCCGCCGCCGUAAUAC